GCAUAUCAAUAAGCGGAGGAAAAGAAACCAACAGGGAUUACCUCAGUAACGGCGAAGUGAAGCGGUAACAGCUCAAAUUUGAAAGCUAGCUCUUUUAGGGUUCGCAUUGUAAUUUGUAGAAGAUGCUUCGGGUGUGGCCCCGGUCUAAGUUCCUUGGAACAGGACGUCAUAGAGGGUGAGAAUCCCGUAUGUGACUGGGUGCUUUCGCUCAUGUGAAGCUCUUUCGACGAGUCGAGUUGUUUGGGAAUGCAGCUCAAAAUGGGUGGUAAAUUUCAUCUAAAGCUAAAUAUUGGCCAGAGACCGAUAGCGCACAAGUAGAGUGAUCGAAAGAUGAAAAGCACUUUGGAAAGAGAGUUAAACAGUACGUGAAAUUGUUGAAAGGGAAGCGCUUGCAACCAGACUUGCGCGCUGAUGAUCAUCCGGGCUUCUGCCCGGUGCACUCGUCUGCGCUCAGGCCAGCAUCGGUUUCGGUGGUGGGAUAAAGGCCUUGGGAAUGUAGCUUCUUUCGGGGAGUGUUAUAGCCCUCGGUGCAAUGCCGCCUACCGGGACCGAGGACCGCGCUUCGGCUAGGAUGCUGGCGUAAUGGUUGUAAGCGACCCGUCUUGAAACACGGACCAAGGAGUCUAACAUCUAUGCGAGUGUUUGGGUGUCAAACCCAUACGCGUAAUGAAAGUGAACGGAGGUGAGAACCCUUAAGGGUGCAUCAUCGACCGAUCCUGAUGUCUUCGGAUGGAUUUGAGUAAGAGCAUAGCUGUUGGGACCCGAAAGAUGGUGAACUAUGCGUGAAUAGGGUGAAGCCAGAGGAAACUCUGGUGGAGGCUCGCAGCGGUUCUGACGUGCAAAUCGAUCGUCAAAUUUGCGUAUAGGGGCGAAAGACUAAUCGAACCAUCUAGUAGCUGGGUUCCUGCCGA
rnacentral:rRNA from 1 species